rnacentral:rRNA from 1 species
GACGAACGCUGGCGGCGUGGAUUAGGCAUGCAAGUCGAACGGUAUCAUCCUUUCGGGGGUGAGAGAGUGGCGAACUGGUGAGUAACACGUAGGUUAUCUACCCUCAAGACGGGGACAACCCAGGGAAACUUGGGCUAAUACCGGAUGUGAGCAACUUUUAGUUGUUUGAAAGGUGGCGUAAGCUGUCGCUUGGAGAUGAGCCUGCGUCCCAUUAGCUAGUUGGUGAGGUAACGGCCCACCAAGGCGAUGAUGGGUAGGCGGCCUGAGAGGGUGUACGCCCACAUUGGGACUGAGAUACGGCCCAAACUCCUACGGGAGGCAGCAGCUAAGAAUAUUCCGCAAUGGACGAAAGUCUGACGGAGCGACGCCGCGUGGAUGAUGAAGGCCGGAAGGUUGUAAAAUCCUUUUGUCGGGGAAGAAUAAGCAUGGGAGGGAAUGCCCGUGUGAUGACAUGAACCGGCGAAUAAGCCCCGGCUAACUACGUG